UACGGGGGGGGUAAGCGUUGUUCGGAAUUACUGGGCGUAAAGGGCUCGUAGGCGGCCAACUAAGUCAGACGUGAAAUCCCUCAGCUUAACUGGGGAACUGCGUCUGAUACUGGAUGGCUUGGAUCCGGGAGAGGGAUGCGGAAUUCCAGGUGUAGCGGUGAAAUGCGUAGAUAUCUGGAGGAACACCGGUAGCGAAGGCGGCAUCCUGGACCGGUAUUGACGCUGAGGAGCGAAAGCCAGGGGAGCAAACGGG
rnacentral:rRNA from 1 species